UUGUAGUACAACUUACUCGGUAUCACCUAGAUAAAUCACUUUCUUGCAUAAGCUUCUCAGAAUGCAAAUCAAACAAAACCCAUGUCUGCACUUUCUAGAUGUUACACUUCCUUGGUCUACUUAACCUCCGACCAAAUAAGGCCUAAGACCCUACCCAUUUUAAUCAUAUAUAGAUUGAGCUCUCAGCAGAAACUCAAAUUUUAUGAAGCACCCACCCAUAGAUGCAGGCCUUAUCAUUCACCUACACUUACACUUCUGCAAAAAUGGUUGAUUUACGAUUUUAUUUUUUUCCAUCAUAAUGCUUUAUCUGAACACUUAACUAGUCACAUCACCAAUCCAUCAUGCACACUGGGUUAUAUAUUCAAAAUCCAUAAAAAGUAACAUUAAACAUUACCAAAUUAAUUAACUAUAGCUCCCAAUACCAGAAAAUUCAAAAUAUGCUUCCUCAAUCCAGGUCAAAAGCUUUCAAGUAUACUUUCCUACUUCCAAAGCAUAUCAAAUGAUUACCAUCGUUUAAAUAGAACAGGAAAACACAAGGUCUUUCAGAUGACAUGGAUGUGCAACUAAGGUACUUCCAGUCAUUGGGACACACUUCUAGGGCGACUCGCUGCCUCUUGGGGA
rnacentral:misc_RNA from 1 species